rnacentral:rRNA from 1 species
GACAGAGGGUGCAAACGUUGUUCGGAAUUACUGGGCGUAAAGCGUGUGUAGGCGGUCUCAUAAGUCGGGUGUGAAAGCCCAGGGCUCAACCCUGGAAGUGCACUCGAAACUGCGAGGCUUGAGUACCGGAGAGGUUGGUGGAAUUCUCGGUGUAGAGGUGAAAUUCGUAGAUAUCGAGAGGAACACCGGUGGCGAAGGCGGCCAACUGGACGAGUACUGACGCUGAGACACGAAAGCGUGGGGAGCAAACGGG